rnacentral:rRNA from 1 species
GUCUACGGCCAUACCACCCUGAACGCGCCCGAUCUCGUCUGAUCUCGGAAGCUAAGCAGGGUCGGGCCUGGUUAGUACUUGGAUGGAGUGGAUU